rnacentral:rRNA from 1 species
CGUCCGUAGCCGGUUUGAUACAUUCGUGGGUAAAUCAACGAGCUUAACUGGUUGAAUGCGGCGAGGACGGUCAGACUUGGGACCGGGAGAGGUGUGGGGUACGCUCAGGGUAGGGGUAAAAUCCUGUCAUCCUGAGAGGACCACCUGUUGCGAAGGCGCCACACUAGAACGGAUCCGACGGUCAGGGACGAAGCCUAGGGGCACGAACCGGAUUAGAUACCCGGGUAGUCCUAGGUGUAAACGCUGUGGACUUGAUGUUGGGGGUGCUCCGAGCGCUCUCAGUGUCGAAGCGAAGGUGAUAAGUCCACUGCCUGGGAAGUACGGUCGCAAGGCUGAAACUUAAAGGAAUUGGC